rnacentral:rRNA from 1 species
AAACUUUGAUAAAAAAAUACAAUUUAUAUCCGCCAGGGGACUACAAGCGCCAGCUUAAAACCCAAAGGACUUGGCGGUGCCCCAGACCCACCUAGAGGAGCCUGUUCUAGAACCGAUACCCCCCGUUCAACCUCACCACCCCUUGUUAACCCCGCCUAUAUACCGCCGUCGUCAGCUUACCCUGUGAAGGCUCUAUAGUAAGCAAAAGGAGUAUAACCCAAAACGUCAGGUCGAGGUGUAGCGCAUGGGGUGGGAAGAAAUGGGCUACAUUCUCUAACUUAGAGUACAAACGAAUGGCCCUGUGAAACCAGGGUCUGAAGGCGGAUUUAGCAGUAAAAAGAAAGUAGAGAGUUCU